GGGGCGAUUCUUACCCGAAGGCUGCCGAGCUGCAGGCGGCGGUCGGUCCGGGCGUCUGCUGUAAUCCACUAGGCGCUGCCUGGCUGCGCUCACUCUCGGACGCAGAGACCCGCUCAUGUUGGUGAAGAAGCCGCGCCAGAACCGCGGCCGGCUGCUCUUGGCAGGCGGUGUCGGCGCCGGCGGGGGACUCGGCGCCCAGGGCCCCUUCCAGGCCCUCCCUCGCCGGGCUCCCCACCAGCUCUGGAGCUGGCGGCGAUGCGGACCGAGUGAGCGGCGGUAGGGCCAGGUCGGGCGCCGGGCGGGAGCCGAGGCCGCGGCGGACUCCGCAAUCCCGCAGCCGGCGACUGGAGCCCACCUCUGCAGAGACAAAGGAACUGCUCUGGUGAACUCCCCCUGAAAGUAAAUGUCCUUGGCUGGCCUCCAGCAUUCCCCUCACAGGCAUGGCCAUGCAGCCUUCAGAACCUUCCUGAAAGAGCCCUGGGUCCCGCAGUCGGGCCCCGUCGCUGACUCUCCAGCUUCCGAGCCGCGGGCGGCGCGUCCAGGGCACACGGAGCGGCCGGGGGCGCGCCAGGCCGGUGUCGCCCGAGGCAGGCGGGCCCUCGGGGCGGCCCCUGGCGCCCGAGGGGAGCUGUUCUCCCCUCGCCUCUCUCCCUCCCCACACCCACCCCUCCCCACACAUCCCCACACAUCCCCACACACACGCUUGCUCACAGCUUGUCGUGUUGUUUAAAACAGGUGGAAGACCUCUGUAAUGAUAUUAUGCCUUUCAAUAAAAAUUUUAUGAGGUGUAUUUGAUUAUAGAUUAAUGUGUCCCUAAUAAAACGGACGGAUGGAGCAGCUCGGAGGGCCCCCUCCCCCUGCCACACUCACACACGCCCGCGCUGCCACACACACCCCGACGUGAGGCUGGGUCCUUGGGCCACUCCCUUCUGAUUUUUUUUCCCCCUACAGAGAUGAGGUUGAGCAGCCUUGAAUCUGAGGGAAAUGC
rnacentral:antisense_RNA from 1 species